CAUAAGGGCUAUCAAAUAUGCUCACUCCUAGUAUUUAGGGUUGUUUGUUUCUCUUAAUUACAAAAUUAAGAGACAAUGUCUUAAAAAUUCAGAUUAAGAUUGUUUGUUUGCCUCUUAUUUUUUACCUCUUCAAAUUAUAAAUACCUUUUAAUUUUUCAGAUAUUAAACAACAUUUGAAUUUAAAAAAAAAAGCGCGAUCCUAUUAUGCCCUAGACAUCAAUCCUUCACCAAAACAACGCCUCCUCUUCUCCUCCCUCUGUGCAUUCUUCUUCCUUUCAACCCCCCCCCCCCCCCCCCCAUUCGUCGACGACUCUGCUUCCCGUCGAUCACUGCUUGAAACGUCGUCGCCGUGUGGAACGAGACUUCGUCCUCCGUCUCCGACAACAGGUUAUGCUGAAAUGUUGAAAUCAGAUUUGUCAUUGAAGCUCUUAAGCACACCAACUGUUUGUGAAAAGUCCUGUGAGGAUGUGAGGUUCUAUCAAUAUAUGUUUUACAGAAUGGUUUUUUAAUCAAAUCACAAAGUUGUGUUUGAUGGGUAUUAAUGUUUAGAUUGUAUAUUCUGUAAUCAUACCCUUGGUUGCAGUUUGAUGGGUAUAAAUGGGUAUUAAUGUUUCUGAAUUGAAGAUAAAAAGAUAUUGAAUAACCUGCUUCAAAAAUAAGAAUAAAGGGCAUAAUGGUAUUUUCCUUGUUAUUAUCAAGUGGGACUAGGUUAUUCUAGAUUACAUGAAGCAUCGAGACUUUGAAUGGCCGGAAGAAAGGAGUUCGUUGAUGGUUUAAAGUUUGGGUGCAAGAAAAUUUUUAAGGGGUAUUUUGGUAUUCUUUUGGAAUUUUACAUAAAAAGGUUUUUUUUAAUGUGAUCCAUAUAAACAUACAUUUGAGUUUGUUUUCAUAGCCUAUUGUACGCUUGUUUUUGUUAGGGUGAAGACAUGAAAUAGCAAUGUACUUUUAUAUAUUUCUUUAUUAUAGGAUCAUACUUUCACCUCUUCA